rnacentral:tRNA from 1 species
GGUUUCGUAGCUCAGGAGGUAGAGCAGCUGGGAGCCAGUGCGUCGGUGGUUCAAGUCCACCCGAAACCA